rnacentral:tRNA from 1 species
AGAUAUAGCUAAAAUUGGUUAAGGCGACGGUUUUUGAUACUGUUAUUCGUUGGUUCAAAUCCAACUAUCUC